UACAGAGGGUGCGAGCGUUAAUCGGAAUUACUGGGCGUAAAGCGUGCGUAGACGGUUAUCUAAGUCGGAUGUGAAAGCCCCGGGCUCAACCUGGGAAUUGCAUUCGAGACUGAAUAGCUAGGGUACGGUAGAGGGAAGUGGAAUUUCCGGUGUAGCGGUGAAAUGCGUAGAUAUCGGAAGGAACAUCAGUGGCGAAAGCGACUUCCUGGACCAGUACCGACGUUCAGGCACGAAAGCGUGGGGAGCAAACGGG
rnacentral:rRNA from 1 species